rnacentral:rRNA from 1 species
UACAGAGGGGGCAAGCGUUGUUCGGAAUUACUGGGCGUAAAGGGCGCGUAGGCGGCCUCCUAAGUCGAACGUGAAAUCCCCGGGCUCAACCCGGGAACUGCGUCCGAUACUGGGAGGCUUGAAUCCGGGAGAGGGAUGCGGAAUUCCAGGUGUAGCGGUGAAAUGCGUAGAUAUCUGGAGGAACACCGGUGGCGAAGGCGGCAUCCUGGACCGGCAUUGACGCUGAGGCGCGAAAGCCAGGGGAGCAAACGGG